rnacentral:rRNA from 1 species
UACGGAGGAUGCGAGCGUUAUCCGGAUUUAUUGGGUUUAAAGGGUGCGCAGGCGGGACGCCAAGUCAGCGGUCAAAUUUCGGGGCUCAACCCCGACCUGCCGUUGAAACUGGAAGUCUUGAGUGCACGCAGGGGUGCCGGAAUUCAUGGUGUAGCGGUGAAAUGCUUAGAUAUCACGAAGAACUCCGAUUGCGAAGGCAGCGUACCGGCUCCAUACUGACGCUGAGGCACGAAAGCGUGGGGAUCGAA